rnacentral:rRNA from 1 species
UACGUAGGGUGCAAGCGUUAAUCGGAAUUACUGGGCGUAAAGCGUGCGCAGGCGGUGAUGUAAGACAGAUGUGAAAUCCCCGGGCUCAACCUGGGAACUGCAUUUGUGACUGCAUCGCUGGAGUGUGUCAGAGGGGGGUAGAAUUCCACGUGUAGCAGUGAAAUGCGUAGAGAUGUGGAGGAAUACCGAUGGCGAAGGCAGCCCCCUGGGAUAACACUGACGCUCAUGCACGAAAGCGUGGGGAGCAAACAGG